rnacentral:rRNA from 1 species
AGUCGAGGGGCAGCGGGAUUGAAGCUUGCUUCAAUUGCCGGCGACCGGCGCACGGGUGAGUAACGCGUAUCCAACCUUCCGCUUACUCGGGGAUAGCCUUUCGAAAGAAAGAUUAAUACCCGAUGGUAUCUUAAGCACGCAUGAGAUUAAGAUUAAAGAUUUAUCGGUAAGCGAUGGGGAUGCGUUCCAUUAGGCAGUUGGCGGGGUAACGGCCCACCAAACCUACGAUGGAUAGGGGUUCUGAGAGGAAGGCCCCCCACAUUGGAACUGAGACACGGUCCAAACUCCUACGGGAGGCAGCAGUGAGGAAUAUUGGUCAAUGGGCGAGAGCCUGAACCAGCCAAGUAGCGUGAAGGAUGACGGCCCUACGGGUUGUAAACUUCUUUUGUGCGGGAAUAAAGGAACCUACGUGUAGGUUUUUGCAUGUACCGUAACGAAUAAGCAUCGGCUAACUCCGUGCCAGCAGCCGCGGUAAUACGGAGGAUGCGAGCGUUAUCCGGAUUUAUUGGGUUUAAAGGGAGCGUAGACGGGUUUUUAAGUCAGCUGUGAAAGUUUGGGGCUCAACCUUAAAAUUGCAGUU